rnacentral:tRNA from 4 species
GCCGAGAUAGCUCAGGUAGUAGAGCGCGGGCCUGAAAAGCCCGGCGUCGCCAGUGCAAGUCUGGCUCUCGGCACCA